GCGGUGGAGGGAGCCGCCGGAGAAACGGCAGAGAGGGAGCGGACAAAGUCGGCGAUGAUGGAGCGCUGGGAGGCAGAGAAGCGGCCGUACCAUAGAAGGUGGACGGUCAGGUUACCGGUGAGGAGGGGACCGUUGUGAUACUGGAGGACUAGGGGCUGCUGCUGGACCAGGCUAAGCUUCCUUGGGUCGGCCAUGGAGUAGGGGAAGAGGAGGAGAGAGAGGAGGAGGAGAGUGAUAGGAAGAGAGAAAGCUUCCGAUCUACCCAUGGGAAGAGGGAGAGGGAGAGAGUGGGUUUCGGUGGCUGAUGCUUGGCUUGGCUUGAAAGGAGGAAGGGUAGGCAUUUAUAUCGUAAGAGAUGGAGGGUAUGGCUUGGGUGGGGGGNNNNNNNNNNNNNNNNNNNNAGAGAGAGAGAGAGGAACAGCUGGAAGCCACGAGGAUGAGAGCCACGUAGAUUUGACCCCCAGGGAUGGUAUAUUUUACAGCUGGGGUUGGACCGGAUGGUGGGUAUCGGGAAAGGAUGGUUCCAGGGGAGGGGCCGAGGGGGGGUGGCCCUUUUUGGAUCUGGUCACCGCACUGAAGUGGACUGCGUCUUUCUGGGGUACUCAAACCAUUGGAUCCAUUUGAGGCUGGACCCGGCUUGGGUAGAAAUUGGUUGUCCAAUGCCAUGCGCAAUGCCACACGGUCUGUGUGCAGGGCAUUCGUUGUUUUUGUGUGAAUCAACACAUCAUGGAGGCAUUAGAAUUAAUAAGGCCACUAGGAUUGGAUAUUCCUUCACAUGCCAUGUAACUUGUAAGUAGUUGAUUGUGAUGACGAUCAUUUGGAAUAUGAAUCAAUUUUUUUUUAGGUCAUAUCUAGAUCUUGAUCACGAGGCUUAAAAAUACAUGUUGAGAAGUUAUUAUAUGCUGAAUCUAUAAAGCACAUUAUCUAUUUGGAGAACGUCUAUAUAUAUUUGUGAUAUUUUCAAAUCAUAGUUAAGCAAAACUAGCACUCACAUUUAAUGUCAUAUAUACUCUUUUUUUAAAAAAAAAACAUUAUAAAUAGUAGUUCCAACAUCGGACCAAAUUACAUUAACUUAUCUUAAUCACAACAAAAGAUCCAAUUUUUCUUGAAAUAUUAAAUAAUAUUAUAAUCUCUUAUUAUAAAUACUUUUCGAGAAGUUAUUCAAAUGUAAAACUUAUCUAAGCCACGUUGAUUCGGAAAAUCAGCUUCUUGGCACAACCAAUUUUAUAUUGCAUUGCUAGGUAUGAUAACGGAAAAGCAAUAUUUUGAAUUGAUGGAGAAAAUAUAGAUAUUCCUGCAUGGUUCCAUGAUCUGGAUAUCAUUAAUUUGUCACUUGAACAUUUCCAUGAGCUACUCUCACGUCUUUGGAAAUGGAUCUGUUCCGGGUUGGUUAACCUACGUUUGGAUCCGGUCUGUAAAAUCUCUUGAAGUCUGGAGGUGACAGGAUUCACUCCUCCUCGAAGUACGAGAAAGAGGAAGCCAGCCCUUGCCCCGGGCUGGGGUGGUAGAAAUUGAUGACGUGAUAGGCAAGGAUAAAGAAAGCUGAGGUUUGUGAUAAGAACGUCAGUGCUGAAACUACCAGAAUAGCCCUCUUGAACUGACCUAUUCACACCGUUCUUUCCCUUGGCCGCAGACGCUAUUCCAUCGUAGAAGAAGAGAUAAAGAGACGUGGCAGCAACACCCCCGAAGGUGCUACAUUUCCGUCACCGUAUUUGUUAUCAUAACAGCUGGUUUUAUGGCCGUUUCCAUGGACGAGUGUUCGAAGAGAGCCGAGUUCAAACAUGUGACGCUUAGGACGUUUCCAAAGGGAGCUAAAGGUGGGCUGUGUCCGGUGAGACGCCGAGACUGUGGGUCGUAUUAUUGCGUCGACCGUUGAACACCCCAAUGGCCUGCUACUUUGAAUAAUUAGUGGUAUGGCGGUGACGUUGGUCAAAUAAAUAUCUACAGUACGAAUCUAUUCAAGUCCAUUGAAGGCUUAAUUUGUUCACAAUAAUGGUGGGGACCAAUUUGGUUCGAUCACGGAUUAGGAUUUAUAUGUCCAUCCAUAUGAUUUUAAUAGAUCAUUUAUUAUUAACAGCUUUAUUAGGAACCUAAGCCAUUUACCAAGUACUUAUUAUUAUACAUAUGAUGGCGGUGAAAUUUGGACAGACAUGAUCAUACUGCUUUAUUGAAGUAAUUUGAAGGUAGUAGCAUAGGCUAAUGAGUGAUGCAUCGCCGAUGGAGCAUCGAAACAAAUUAACAUAAAACCAACCAUAGAACUGUGUUGUACUGUUUUAGAUUUGGAUUGUUGAAGCCAAAUAUGCCAAGGUACAUUGCACUGAGAAGCUGAUACAUAGCACUAACAUAUGCUUGUUUACGAUGUAUAUUUAAAGCAAGGGUCAAAUAUAUUGCUAUGCACAACAAAUAGGAUUUUAUACAAGCCUCAAAUUGCCAUUUCCUUUAUUUUUUCUUCAACAGAAUGCAUCGUGCAAACAUAAAUUGGUGUCUCACUUCGCUAGAAGCAUCCAAGAUUUACCUUAAGCGCAAAAUGAUGAGAUACUUCAUUAUAAUCGGGAUGUCAUGGACUCAAAAUACAUAAAUAGUUUUUCCAUAUGAUAGAGCAAGACUACAUUUACUAUAAAAAAAAUAGCUUUUUUUUCGAGCACUAUUUUUUCUUACUAAAAGCCAAUUUUCAAAAAAAAAAUAUUUUCGAUGGUAUAUUACUGUCACAAGUCAUCAUAAAUAUCUCUGCUAUAAAAAGUUUUUUUUAGUAAUGGACAAUCGAUGAUGGUAUAUUUCUAACUAUUUAUAGUCAUCAAAAAAAAUAUUAACUACCAUGAUUAAUAUAUCAGCAAAUGAGAAAAAUGGAUGAGGAUUUUUUUUGCAACAACAAAAAUUUAUUGUAAAGGAGAUUAACAGCUAUCAAUAACGAUCUUUACCAAUUAUAUUUUGUUUGUUGCAAAUAAUUUGGAUUUCGUCAGUAUUUUAUUGCAAAAUAAGGAUAUAUUAUCAUUACUAAAUUAUUUAUGAUAAUUUUUUUAAUAAUGAUGACAUGUAUCCGUCAUUAAUAAAUUUUUUUAUCAUAAUAAAUAAAUAAUUUCGAUAUCAUUCAGACUCACUAAAGCUAUUUAUGAGAAGAUAUCUUUUGUGAUCAGUAUAUCAUAAAAGAAUAUUGCUAUUAGAAAAAUCAUUUGUGAUAAAAUUAAAUAUUUUAUUUUAUGAACUUUUGACUAUUGAAAAUAUGUUAUUUAUGAUAAUUUCUUAUUUUAUAAAAAAAAUUAUUAUUUUCAAUAAGAUACAUUAUCCUCAUAAUAAUAUUUAAAUAUAUAAUAUUGACAGCUUCUAAUGAUAUAUGUAAUAGUAUAGAAAUUUAACAUAUACAAAGAUACCAAUUAAAGAAGUAAUAAAAAUUUUAUCAUAUAAUAAUCUCAUAAAAGUAAUAAUUUUAUUAUCCACAUCCAUAUGUAAAAUUUAGCUACUCAAAAGAAAGGAACAAAAAAAAAAGUUAAUCAUCCUUUGAACCACUCUCGGAACGUCUUCAUCUUCAUCAUGCCUGUCAUCUUGAUUUUUAUUCACAUCGUUCUAUUAUGAAACAAGGAAUAAAGGAGUAAGAAUUUACUGUUUAGCAACUAUAUGAGCACUUAUUUAUUUUUUUAUUUCAAUCAAUUUAAAAAAAAUAUAAUUUGAUAUAAAUUUAUCAUAUCAUGUUAGAUGAGCAUGUAGUAAUUAUUUAGGAAGGUAUCUAUAGUGUAAUACCCAUAGACUACAAUAUCUCAAGUACAACUGAAGACAUCUUUUUAUUGAUCAAUACAGUAUAUCUAGUCUCUAAUUUCUCUAUGCAAUCAGUUAAUGCCUUUGUCUCUCUAGCAUGGUCCUUUUUAUAAUGCUUGUUGCAAUCUUGACUUGAAGAGAGGCCAAACAUAUCUCUUGCCUUCAAGCCUAUGCCCAUGCCAAGCACACAUGAUCAUGACUCGGUUCCCCAAUCACUUCUUAAUAUAUCUUCUAUUCAUAAUUAGGUGCAGAGAUUUUGAAUGUUGCAGCUAAUCUAAUUGAUGCCAUUUGCUCUUGAUAUUAAAAAAAAACAGAAUGUAUGAAAUAAAAGAUUAGGUAUUACAAUAUCCUAAUAGUGUAAAGAUAAACAUAACAUUCGUUUCUUACAUGCAUCUCCCUCACCUUGUUUGUAAACUAAGUUUUUUCAUCUUUUUUCACAUGAAAUGUCUUCCAACAGUCAAUGACACUAGGCUCAUGAUCAGUUUUCUUUAUGUAUAAAUAUUCAUAAAGUAUAUUAUAUUUUUAUAUAAAAAGGUCGAUGAUUAACCUUAGUGUUUCAUAAUUAAGCUUUUUUGAUUUUGUAUUUGUAGUUUGAUCGUAAAUAUGCCAUGCAUAGUAUUAUCUAUUGUUGGAUUGGUAUAUGCAUUAUAUAAAAUUAAGUAGCUUGAUUUGUAUAUAAUAUCUUCUGGACUCAAAAGAGUAUGUUAUCUAUACUUGAUGUAAAUUUUAGUAUAUGGCCUAUUUAUUUUUGCAUCAAUCACAAGGUUAUGCAUCUUGAACAAGAAACCUACAUAUUACUCCAUAUACAAAUGAACUUACAAAUUCAUGUAUUAAGAUAUGCUUAUGGAUUUCGGUUGUAUUCUUUGAGAAAUAGGAUAUUUAGGACACUGAAUAAAGAUGAACUAAUGCUUACCUUCUAAAAGAAUAUCGAACUUGAUGUUUCUUUUAAAAAAAAUAGUUGCAGAAGUUUGCCUCCAUGUAGGGAGAAUAAAGUUUAUGAUUAUUGAUAAAAUACUUGUAUAUUUGGGAAAAUAGAUAUUGAUAUAGAAAAAAAAAUUCAAAACGAAUAAAAUUAAAAAAUAAAGAAAUAUACUUAUAUUUGUCAUGCAUGGCACUGAAAAUUUAAUAUGACAAGACUUCUGUAAAUAUAUAAUUUUGCUUCUUUUGGUAUAAUAAGAUGAAAAAAAUACACAUGCUAAAUAUCAUUUGUUUUUAUCUUGACAUGCUUUCAGGUGCCAUGUAUGUAGUCAGAUUCUUCCUUCAUUCUAUCAAUUAAUUAAUGAACUAAAAAAAUAUAUUAUCAUACCUUCUUAGCUCUAUAUGUUGCCUUUGAAACUGAGCCUUUAGUUACUGCUAGUUCAAAUUUUGAUUUGUUAUCUUUAUUUCUCUCACUUUGAUGCUACAUAUAUCAUUUGUCCAUAACUAAUAUCAGUUGUAGGAACUCACUUUUCAAACAAAAAAAGGAUAUUUAGUUAAUAUGAUUCAUAAUAAAUAAAAAAUCUAUCAAUUCUUCUCAUUUUAUUUAUCCAUCAUUUAUUUCCAAACUGACAGAAAUAUAUUAUUCGGUGGGUGAUUAUAGCACUCCUCAGUAGUCAUUUACUUUUGAAGAAUAUCUUUUUUGAGAGUUCACAUCUAAUUAGAAUAGUUGGUCUUGACAUAUAAGUCAAAUGCUUUCUUUACUUCUUCCUCAAGAUAAAUAUAUAUAAAUCUAAUUUUUUGAAUCAUAAAAAUUAUCGAAGACUCAGUAAUAUUCUGGUGGAAAAGACUGCUAAUCUCAUAGCAUGCUACUCAUGUGAUUUUUCUAAAAUUAUAAUCAAUCGUGAUCAAUCGUGACAUAAUUGAGGUAAGCAUGUUCUAUUAAUAUCAAAAUUAUCAAACAUAUAGUUUCAAGUAAAAAUAGUAGAAGAUUCAUAUCAAAUAAUAAAAUUAAAUAUAAAACUAUAAGAUUAUACUAACCAUAUAAAAUGAAUUUCAAAUAAUUAUCUCUUAUAAAAAAUUUCUAUCUUUGUAUCAUGUCUUAGUUUAACUCAUUUACUUUUUUUCUUAUCUCUUUUUUUUUAUUAUGGAACAAGUUACCAGGACAAAUAACAUAAAUCGGAUAAUUAAGCAUUAUUCAUAAAUAAAAAUUAGCAAAUAAAGUAAAAUUUCAAGACAAAUAUUAUCCUGAUUGCUUGCAUCAACUGAAGGCUCGAAUUUUUAUAGAACUUUUGAGUAGCCAACAUGAUUAGAUUCACUAGCUUAUUAUCAUAGUUUAUCUAAUAAACAAAAUUGAGAUGUAGAUGAGAUACCAUCUUAUUAUUGUGCACUGCUAUUAGUCUUUUUCUUGUCUUUUUUUGCCCUUUACCUACUAUAAUAUGUAAUAAUAAUUAUUAUUUAAAUAAUAUUUUAAAUAAGCAACAAUUAUUAUAAGUAUACAUACUAGUUAUAUGUAAGUGUAAAUAGACAUAUCUAUGACUUUAAAUCACAAUUUGAACUAGAAUAUAAAUAAAUCAUGCAAGUUAAAGUCAAUCAAUUUUGUCUAAUAAACCAAGCAAGUCAAAAUCAUCCAAUUGUGUUUAAAUAAUUAACAAAAUAAAAUGAACAAAGUCAUCAUAUAAUCAUGUCAUCAAUUCUGCUCCUAUUCCAAUCUAGCUCAUCAUCUCCACCAUCAAUGUGGAUCGCUUGCGCAUUAUGUAUCUGAAUCUCCUCUUCUUGUUGUGGUUCCCCCUCUUCCAUAGGCAUCAUAAAAAAGUUUCUUGACUUGGUUUCAGCUAUUGAGCUCCAAGUGAGAUCUUUAGGUGAUCCAAUAUAAUAAACUUGAGUUGCUUGGGUUGCCAGCAUAAAAGAUUGUUGAGUGUUUAACCUGCGUGCUAUAUAAAUUAUAAUAAUUCUAUGACGAUCUCUCUUGUAUCUAAUUCCUUCUCUACUUAUACCAUACCAGUCGUAUUUAAAUAAUGCGACUUUGAUCCCUUCAGUAUAACGAAGUUUAAUAAUAUCAGUAAGACAUCCAUAAUAAAAAAUUUCAUCACUUUCAUAUUCUCCUCUAACUAUAACUUCACUAUUUUGACUUCUUUUACUUUUUUUACAUUGUUUUAUAUGAAAUCUAAAACCAUCAAUAUAGUAAUCUAUAUAGUACAAAGCUUGUCUUUUAGGAUCUUAAGUAAAAGUAACUAUAUCUCGAUUAAUCUAUUCACCUCCCCCUAUUAUGCAGCGCAAUAAUCUGUAAAAUACAUAAAAAAAAUUUGAUUCAAGACAUAUUGCAUAUAUUUCAUAUAAAUAAGUUAUAGUUUGUGUUACUUUAUUUUACACUUUCUUUAAACCAAUGGAUGAACUCGCAUCUAUGCAUCUCUUCUAUGUUAGCAGAAUCAAAGUUAGCUAGCAUAUUUUUAUAUUCCCUGUAAAAAAAAAACAUAAAAUUUGCCUUUCACACCAAUUAUUAAAGAACCACAUAUACAAGUAUUUUUUAAUAAAAUAUCUUAUUGUACAAAUGGCUCAGCCUUAUUGCAAUUGUAUAGGAUAUAAAGUGUAGCAGCAUUCCAUAGAUCGUCAUUCAAUUUGCACAUAUAUGCUUUUCCUAAAUGAUAAUUGGCUAUAAAAAAUACUGAAAGUCGAUAUGGGCCACUUGAAGAUGAAUUUCUAUCACCAUUUCUCUUAGAUCAAUUGAAUACUGUUUUCACUCCAUGCAAGUAUUAGGGGCAAAAUGUUAAACCCUCAUCUAUCAAAUAUCCUUCUGCAAUGGAUGCUUUUGGCGUUGGAUUGUUACAAACAAAGCCCUUUAACUUAUGCAGAUGUCUAAUUAGAAGAUAAUUUGUGUUAAACUUGAUUAACAUAUGUUCAAGCUUUUAAUUAAUAUAAGCAAUAAAUAGCAUCAUACAUUUUAAUUUUGUACAUUCAUCUAAAUUGCAUCGGACCAGUAACUAUAGCCUCCCAAGUUCAGGCAAUUUGACCUUUGAAUAAUUAGUGGUAUGGUGGCCAUGUUGGCCAAAUAAAUAUCUACAGUACAAAUCUAUUCAAGUCCAUUGGAGGCUUAAUUUGUUCAUAAUAAUGGUGAGGAUCGAUUUGGUUCAAUCACAAUUUAGGGUUUAUAUAUCCAUCCAUAUGAUUCUAGUAGAUCAUUUGUUAUUAGCAGCUCAAUUAGAAACACAAACCACUGAUCAAGCACUUAUUAUUAUACACAUGAUGGUGGUGAAUUUUGGACAGACGUGAUCAUGCUGUUUUAUUGAAGUAAUUUGAAGGUAGGAGCAUAGGCUAGUAAGUGAUGCAUCACUGUUGGAGCAUCGAAAUAAGGUUGCAUUUGGUGUAUUACAUAGGUAAUAUUGCUAUGGUAAUGUGAUUGUAGAAAAAAUAUAAUUACCUAAUAAAAUUACAGAGAAUCCUAUAUUGCAGUGUUUGGUAUGUGCGGUAAUGUAGUUGUAAAAUCACAGAAAAUCUUAUAUUAUAGUAUUUGAUAUACAAUUUAGAUUACAUAGAAUAUAAGCUAAUUUUUUUCAAAGUAGCCCCAUUCUUGCUUAUUGAUUAUUAUCUAUUUUCUAGAGGAAUAAUUUAAUUUUGAGACCAACUAUUUUUCGUGAUAUCAUCCAUUAUGUUUUCUUUUCUAUUUUCACCAACUAAGACUAUCCAUAAUUUAUUUUGAUGGAGGUAUUUUGAUCCUGAAGUUAUCUUGUUAUAGGAUUGCAGGAUUGUAAGAUUAUAUAUAAUCACAUAGCCAUUUUCCCCCAGACAAUCAGAUUAUCUCUUUUUGAGGUAAUGCUGUAUUAUAUGUAAUAUAGCAUUACCUAUAUAAUACAGCAUUACCUGUGAAUAUAAUGAAACAAACAGUAUAAUUUGAUUACUUAUUAUAAAAUUAUAUGUAAUCCUGUCAGGAUUAUAUGCUACCAAACACCUUCUUAAAUUAGUAUAAAACAAACCAUAAAACUAUUUUGCAUCGAUCUAGAUUUGGAGUUUUGAAGCCAACUAUGUCAAUGUACAUUGCACUUAGAGACUGAUACAUUGCACAAACAUAUGCUUGUUUAUGAUGUAUAUUUGUUGAAAGGAUCAAGCGUAUUGUUACACACAACAAACAGGGUUCUAUAUAAGCAUCAAAUUGCCAUUCCAUUUUUUUUCUUCAAUGGAAUGCAUAUUGCAUAUAUAAAUUUAUGUCUCACUUUGCUAGAAGCAUGCAAGCUUUACCUUAAGCACACAAUGGUGAGAUUACUUCAUAUAUAGCAUGGAUGUUAUGGACUCAAAAUACAAAAAUAGCCUAUUCAUAUGAUAGAGUAAGAAUAGAUUAAUAUGAUCCUCCCCAAAUCCUACAAUAAUAGGAGCCUUGUAUAUUAAGUACCUUUUUCUAAAGGCAUGAUAUCUAGAAUUUAUAGAUAUCUUCAUUUGUAGCAUUUACUUUGAAAGUCGAAAGAGUUCCAUACUAUUGUUAUGCCAAACUUUGAUGAGUAUUUUCAUCCUAUAUAUAUAUAUAUAGGGAGCAUAUCAAGUGAGAGGAUUGGUUUAAUGUGAGAGGUGAGAAGUUAUAAUAAUAAUCAUUGGAUCUGCAUCAACGGUUCAGAUGAGCGCCGCACGCGCGUUAAAAAAAUUUGAAAAAAAAAGAAUAGAUAAUUCCUAAAGGUAUUUAGACAGUUUGGAUAACCGCAUUCUCAUCUGAAUCGUUCAUGUGGAUCCAAAGAUUAUUAUUAUGUCCUCUCACUUCUUACAUUAAGCUACUUCUCUCACUUGAUAUGCUUCAUACACACACACACAUAUAUAUACAUACAUACAUACAUACAUACAUACAUACAUACAUACAUACAUACAUACAUACAUAUAUAUAUGUAUGUAUGUGUGUGUGUCUAUACACACAGAGAGAGAGAGAGAGAGAGACACACACACAUAUAUAUAUAUAUAUAUAUGGGACCAUAAGAUUUUAUUAAGCUCUUGGAAUGAAGAUAAAGUUACAAACAGGGACAACGAGUUCUAAAUAAAAUUAAAAAACAAAGAAAUAAGAAUUUCUCUAAUUUAGAAGAUAGGUUGUCUUCACAAAUCAAGGACCAAUCGUGCCAAGUAUGAACUAUUGAUCUUCUUAUAUGCAGAGACAGGACCUUGUGUCCUCAUAUCUCAGGCCAAACUAGAUAUUUUGAAGAUUUGCUUCCUUCUCCAAAUAGCCCAAAAUGAGCUUAAAAAAGGUGCUCUGACCCUCCAUUUGAUUCUUUGGCUCAAAAUACUUCAAAAUUUAUAUUGAAUAAGACAUAAUAAAAAUAAGUGAUCCGUAGCUUGCUCAUAAGCAUGACAUAACACCCAUGAAAAAAAAAUCGUUAGGUUCCCUUUUAAUGGGUGUUAUGUCAUGCUUACGAGAGAGCUGCUUGUCACUUAUUUUUAUUUUUUCCAAAUUAUAAAUUACAUUGUCGUCAAAAUCCUCCCUUAGCAGCCAAGAAAUGAAAUAUUUUGACCUUUUUAAGAAUGCAAAUAUUUCAAAUGGCAUUGAAACUCUUGUCAAUUUGCUACUUCAUUAUGAUAUUAGCUUGGACAUGCAUCAUACCUUAAUUUCUCUUAUGGAGCACAUCAUCCAUCAUACAACAUUACUCAAAAAGUUUAUCGCCAUCAAUUAAAAUUCUAGUAAUAUCACAAAGUAUAACCGCACACGGAUGGCCUCAACAUAAAUUAUAUUUAAGGAAUGCUUCAUGUUCAUGCUGUAGAUGAACAUGUACACUCACAAUUUUUUCAUGCUGCUCACUUGUUCCACAGUUUAAUAUGAAAGCAACUAAUUAGUUGAAAAGGUCUAAUGCGCCAAGGUGGAAUUAUUUACUUUCAAUUGCAACACUCAUUAUUUCCACACUUCUGUCCCCAACUAGCUCAAUUCUCUCCUCCCUCCCUCACCUUGUAAUGAUCAAUACAGAGCACCUUUGGAGAAAGCGAAUCUAUCUAUAUGUGUGUGUAUAUAUAUAUAUAUUAUCAAUUGCUUGAAACUAAAACGUGACGCCAACUUUUUUUGGGAGCAUAGCAAAACCAAAGUUAUGGUUGUAUCAGAAGAAGGGCCCCGAAAAAAAAAAAAAGCCAUGGAAUGAUACUACCAGCGCACUGAAAACAAUGGACCACGGACAGUAACUUGACAAAUGUGUCCGAACAAAUUAAAACGUGGGAGAGCGGAGAAUCUGGGUGUCCUUUGUCGAGAAAUUUUAUCUCAGCCGGCGUGCUUCAUGUGCCUGGGAACGCCAUCAAUCAUAACCGUUCAUUUUUAUAAAUUCUAUUCAUCGAAUGCUCAUCCAGAGGCAUCAUUACAUUACUAAACAAGCUGUAAUUGGCUAUCCGUACAAUCGUGUGGUGCAACCGUGUAGAAUAUAAUUUUUUAUACAUACUUUAUCCCGCAUAUAUAUAUCUUAGGAUACAAUCAGAACUUUCGUUUGUAGUAGCGAUGGAUACCGCACGGUCCUUUGCGUGGUAGACCCACAUCACAUUAAAUGAGCCCAGCCGACACUUGGAUGCCAAAAUAAGAAUUAAACGUAUUUUUGAAAUUAUUAAAAAAAAAGCCUCCUUUAUCUUCUUCUUUGGGACGUCUCCUUUUUGGACUCGAAGCACCCUCCUGACCCCUUUCCUUGUUUAAUUAUUACCCUUAAACCAAUUUAAUCGGUCACAGCAUCUUCCCACUCGGACCCCGACACCAUUAAGGCGGAUCCCACAGAUCUAAUCGUUAUUAACGGCGAUAAAUUUAUACACAUCGCAGUCACGCGUGCAAGACUCGCACACAGUUGUAAAGGUGAUGGAGUGGAGACAUGGAGCGGGUCAAAGCAUGGGUGCUCGCUAGAGGACGAGGAAACAAAGGGAUGGAUGGAUGUUCUCGCACGUGCGAGGAGAUGGCGUCGCAGGUUGUGGUCCGAGUUUAUCCUGAUUUUUUAAGGGAGAAAGGGACGAGGCAGGAGAGGUGGGAGGCAGCGCACCUCCCGGCACGGUGGCCGACGUUCUCUGGGCGACACGUGUGUGGCGACGGCUUGGCGGAGGGGUGGAUAAGAAUAGGAGGAGAGAGGAAAAAUUUUAUGCCACGUGUUUUGCAUGGAGGCUGGUCUUCAGCGAUUUGACACCGGAUGUGGGAGUCUCCAGGUAGGCAUUAAUCUGGCAGAGGGAGCAUGGCUCCUUGGUCGUCUACAGCGCAUGCAACACUGAUAAUAUCCUGUGGCAUGUGGCCUUUAGCGCGUCCAGCCUUACUGUGAUAGCGAAUCCUCUAGAAUUGGAUAUGAUGGAUUGGUUCUCUCUCUCUUUUGUUUACACUAUGAAAUUUGAUAUUUGGAGGAAUUGUUAAUGAGCCUUAAUUUACCAUUUCUUUUCUCUUAAACAAAUUAAUGCUAAGUGGCUGAAUGAUUAAGAAGGAACAAAGCUUGUAGUUGCACACUGAUGUCCCAACAAUCCCAUCUUAUAUGAACACAAGCAGUGAGAAUUUUCUGUUGCUAUAUUUGUCAUAGAGAAAAAAAAAAUUAUUGCUGAGGUUGUGAAAUAUUCAAGUUCACUUUUAUUUGCUAUACAUUGUGAUAUUGUCCUGCAUAUUUGCUAGGUUGUAGAAUGGUGCUAUAUCAAUCACUCUAUACUUGGUUUAGAAAGUUAAUUUUUGUAUAAUGGUAUAUAGGCUGAGUAAAAAAGGACUGAUUAGAGUUCUUAGCUUUAUUUAGAGGAGAAAUAUAUAUAAAGUGAUCAAGAAGAAGUAGGACUAAUGGGAGGACAUUGAUCUCAUGAUUAUUGAAUUACAUACAUGCAACAUUCAAACAUGAAGAAUUUAUGCCUUUAUAUCUUACUGGUAGCAGCUUGAAGCUUACUCUGAAUGAUCAGUAGUAGAAUUUACACUGUUGGGGAAGGCCUAAAGCUGCUUCAGAAUGAAACCAUGAAAGACCGGGGAAAGGCCUAAUGCUUGCAUUCACUUUCAAUCGUUGAAAAUUUAAUGUAGCUUCUCUUUUAUUGUUUGAUGGAUUCUAUGUGGCUCUGAUGGACUCUGAGGAUAAUAACAUGAUAGUUGAUGGAGUCCUUAGUUAUUGAGCAUAUCGAAGACAUUGGUCAUUGAAAUCUUUGGUAUAACGAGGCCUUGUUGCUAGCAAAGAAAAAGGCAGCUGAACAUCCCUUUCUAUAUCUUUUUUCUUAGCAUCUAGAUUUCCUAGGCUUUAGGUUUUAAAAUCAAUAAUUGCUUUCAAAUAUCUAGGUUUUAGAUCUAAUUUCCUUGCAUCAUUGCUUUGUCUUCUAUUAGGUAACUGUGAAGCUGGUGCUAGACCCUUCAGCAUGCAUCAUGCACUUUUGUAGUUUAAUGGCCACAAACGCCGGGUGUUGUUCCGUGUAAACAAAAAAUAUUGACUCAAUAGAUACAACCACCACUUUGUUCAAAAACAUUACAACACAUAUAACACUGAUUGCAAGCAAGUGAAUUAUUGAGUUAAUCUAUGCUUUAAGAAAAGUUUUAAAAAGAAUCUUUCAAUACAUCAAAAGGAAUUACCAAUGACAUCUUUUAUUUUAUAUUCAUCUGAGUUUUAAAGUGCACUUUAAUAAAUAAUAUUGAAAAUUGUCUGCUUAAUGUUGUCCAUGAAAGAUAGUAUAUAGGCUUUGUCAUACGUUAAUUUAUAUACUCCUGUCCCUUCUAUUACACUCUCAAUAUGCAGCCAAAAUGAUUUUUAUUCCAAGCACUUUAUAGAGCUCCUCUAAUCCAAAGCAACCAAAUCGAAGAGUUAUCCAGAGGCAUGAGAUCGUUUACCGUACACGCCAUAUUUUAUGGUCUUUCCAAAUAAUCCUUCUAGGAGCAUCACAAGCAAUAGAUUGAUGAGCAUCGUAGCUAAUAUUAUUCCUUAGAGGAUGCUCACGGCUAAAGAAAUUUUUAAAAAAAUUAGAAUAAAAGAUCUUUUAUAUUUUUUUAGAAAAUUAAUUAAUGGGAAUUGAGAAUUAGAACAAUUACAAGAACUUUCAUCCAUCAUGCCGGUUUCAAAAAUAAAAUAUUUGCCCAAACAUCUCCAAGAAGUCUCAAAGGGAGAUCUUAAAAUCACCUGGCAGGUAGAUUCACAAUUGAAAUUGUAAAACUGGCACCUCUACAAUAUUUAACAAAUUCGUGGUCCAAAUAAAAAUUAAUAUUCCUGACCAGGAAAACAUUACAAUCAUACAUCAUUCUUCUAGCCCCCCUUGGGUUAUUGGGGCCAACAUCCUUAUUCUGCUUGCAUUUAUAUAACAAUCAUUAUGUGAAAAAUAAAUAGGAGUACAUAAGAGAACAUCUAAAACUUCCAUCUCUAUACGAGGGUGGAACACUGAGACGUCUUAGGGUCCCACAUCGCCGGCAGCAAAUACUUCCUCCCAUCCAAUCCCCUCGCGUUGUAACUGGCCCCACUGGUUUGAUCCACCAGGACCCGGCCGGGAUAUCCGGGAUAAGCCCCGCUUCCGAAUAUCCCGGUACAAGCGGAUACCGCCUCCAACGGCGCAUCCGCCGGCCCCUGGAAGUAGCCGUUACCGUCAGGAUUAGUCACCGCUCCGGCCAACAAGGUGGCGAGGUUAAUGACGACGCCGUCCAUGCCGACGUCGCUGUUAGGCGCGACUAACGGCGGGGUUUGGGGGCCGUAGACCGGCUGGUGGAACGGCCAGGCACACUGACCCGGGCACUGGACCUCCGAGUCGCCGGUCCAGAUGAACCCGGCCGAGCCGGCGAGCGGGCCGUGGGUCCCGCAUCGGCUCGAGCAGAAGCCGUCGACAGCAACAUCAACGGAGGUGAGGACUACGUUGAUGUUGGUGGGGGAGGCGCCAGGUUUAGAGGCUAAGAGGGAGAGUUGGGAGGGAGAGAGGGAUUUGCCGACGGAGUAGUGAUCGUCGAGGAGCUGGCGGCCAAGGAAGAGACGGGGGGCGGAGCCGCCGUAGAGGGCGGUGGUGUGCCACCAGGAGGCGGCAGAGGGGGGUGGCGGCGGAGAAGCCGCCGAGAGGGAGAGGAGGAAGUCGGCGAUGAUGGAACGCUGGGUGGCGGAGAAGCGGCCGUACCAGAGGAGGUUGAUGGUGAGGUUACCGGUGAGGAGGGGGCCUUUGUGGUACUUAAGGACUAGGGGCUGCUGCUGGACCUGAAUAAGCUUUCUGGGGGCAGCUGCGGAGGAGUGGAACAAGAGGAGGAGAGAGAGG
rnacentral:lncRNA from 1 species